GAAUACCUUUGUAAAUCUGCGUGUGGAUUUCAUUACUGCUAUGUGAAGUCAGAGAGUCAUUAAUUCUUAAAUAAUACAAUGUAAAAAGAAAGGAUUCAGCCUUAGUAGAAAUAAGUAUAUGUCUUCCAGCUCUUUCAUUAAGAAACACUAGUACCUCUCUGUGUUUUGGAGUAGGGACUUGAAAUUUGGCAGUGAGAUCCAUCCUCACCUACUCAAGAUUUGCUGCAACUAGACAAUAAAGCUGAGAAAGAGAAGAAAAAGCAGGAGCUAUUUUGUGAUUGUGUGAAGGAAAGUCAAAAAUAGAACCCUUCUGCUAAGGAGACGUUUGUAACUGUUACA